rnacentral:lncRNA from 1 species
UUUAAUUCACUAAGUGAUUGGAUUAAAUAUAAUCAAUUGGAUUGGUGCCAAUCACCUCACUGCCUUUCUAAUUAGAACCUAAAACGAUUGUUCACCAAUACACUCUUGUAGUGAGUAAUUUAUGGAUGAUGGAAAUAAUUAAUUGAAUUAAUUACGUGUUGUGAUUAAUUAGAAAGUCUAAAGAAAUCAUAAAAGCGAUAUUAGAUCCUUUUGGGCUUAAAGAAACGUUCGGGUUUAAUUGGGCCCAUUGGGCCUAAACCCAUUGGGCUUUUAUUCAAGCAUUGGAUGACUUGAAAUAAAUAAAAGCACAAAGCCCAAACAACACAAAGGGGCCGGCCAAAGGAGGGAGAGAAAGGUCAAAUGUUGACUUGUUUCUUUUUUGCUAUAAAAGGAACUUUAUAGCAAAUGUUUCAUUAGUGUUUUUUGAAGUGUUAAAAGAACAAA